UACGGAAGGGGGCUAGCGUUGCUCGGAAUUACUGGGCGUAAAGGGCGCGUAGGCGGACAGUUUAGUCAGAGGUGAAAGCCCAGGGCUCAACCUUGGAAUUGCCUUUGAUACUGGCUGUCUUGAGUUCGGGAGAGGUGAGUGGAAUGCCGAGUGUAGAGGUGAAAUUCGUAGAUAUUCGGCGGAACACCAGUGGCGAAGGCGACUCACUGGCCCGAUAC
rnacentral:rRNA from 1 species